rnacentral:lncRNA from 1 species
CUCCAGCCACCAACCUAUAAAUGAGCUCAGAGGCAGCUCCUCCCCCAAGUCGAGCCUAACUAGGAUGGCAGCCCCACUAACUCUUUGAUUGUCUCUCAUGAGAGACCUGAGGCAGAGCGCCCAGCUAAGCCAGCCUCAGGUAGAUUCCCGACUCACAGAAACUACGAGGUCAUAAGUGUUUCUUGUUUUAAACCACUAAGGUUUGGGGUAACUUGUUACACAGCAAUAGAAAACCAAGACAGUGGCAUUAAGGGUUUAAUAAGGUACAAUAGCCAGUCCAUAAGCAGUAGCUAGCACUGUUAGUACAACAUGGAUUAAUUGCUUUCCAAUCUGCUUGUUGGAAAGAUGGUGACAUGAAAAUUGUGGGGUGGAGUGAGGGAAGGAGAUGGCAUUUUCCAGGAAAUCGUGAACUAAGCAGAAACUAAAAAGAGAAAGAGAGCCAAAUGCCAACUAUUUUGUGACAUGUGAUCAUCUCCCUUCUUGAUCGUCCCAAAAUAUUUCAUUUGUGCCACGAUUACAGCACCGGACGGCUGGCCGUAUGCUGCGCAUUUGUUCUCCUCCCUUCUCCUGUCCUCGAAGAUCGGGGCCAUGCCUUCAUUUUCUUAAUUCAUCACCGCGUCAAACACCAUACAUUGCAAAUAAUGACAACGAGAAUAGCCCGUAAUUGUUCUUCCUUCCACUUUAAAAUCAUUCCGGUUUCUCUUCAAAGCGUGCUGUGGAUCCCUGCUGGCACCACUUCCAGGAUAAGGAACAUCGCACCCAUGAAGAAAGGAAGACCAGGUAAGAGGAUGCAGACAGAUAUUGUUAGCAACAUAAUUCAGGAGCGUACAAUAAACAAGCAUUCCUGGAUUCAUUACCCAAGUCAAAGGCCAGCCCACGCUUCUCCGCCCCACUCCCUGCUCCAAUAUGCCAUCAAUCAGAACCCAGGUCCUACAGGAGUUGGACCCCCAGACAGAACGGAGUUUGAUGCUAAACAGGACAAAAGCCCCUGGUGAUUUCCCAGUUCUCCUAGCUUCCUUCUGUGCAUCAGGGCAGGGGCAGUCACAGAUGCCAUAGACAGCUGGGGGAGGGAGAGUGCCAGCGAUGCUGCCCUGACAGCAUUAGACCAUUAAUGAAG